rnacentral:lncRNA from 1 species
CUGCAGCGUUUGAUGUGCAUGCAAAGUAGAGGGUCUGCAUAUCCAGACCUCCGUGAAGGUUUAUAUCAAAUAAUUUGAGAUUUGAUCUUUAGUUCUACUAUAAUUCAGGUAAAGAUUUGAUCCUUAAAUAAGUAGAAUAUUAAAAAAAAAUUUUAGAUGCAACCUGAGCAUUCUGGAGGAAAAUUAUUUUCUUCCCUUCAACUG